AGGGAGCAAGCGUUGUCCGGAAUCAUUGGGCGUAAAGCGCGCGUAGGUGGCUUCGUAAGUCCGUUGUGAAAGUCAAAGGCUCAACCUUUGAAAGCCGAUGGAUACUGCGGAGCUAGAGUACGGAAGAGGCGAGUGGAAUUCCUGGUGUAGCGGUGGAAUGCGCAGAUAUCAGGAGGAACACCAAUAGCGAAGGCAGCUCGCUGGGACGUUACUGACACUGAGGCGCGAAAGCGUGGGGAGCGAACAGG
rnacentral:rRNA from 1 species